CGACGCUCCCCUAACGAACACACCAUAGUUGAUCGAGCUGUCAUCAAGGCUGUCAUUUUUUUUUCACCCGCGCGCGUGUUUGAUCCUGUUUGUGUGGCGCAGUUGAAAUCAAAAAUUCUCAAGUCGAAUCGCGUGUGCUCGUGAAGGAACAACAUCCGGCGUUCGGAACAAAUACACCGGGUGACCGAAUCGGAACGGCUCUGGGAUGGCGGAAUUUUCGCAUAUUUGGGGACUUCUUCUACCAGGCCCGGCGCCUGCUGCGACACUUCCGGCCGGAUUUGUUCAGGAUGGUCGUUUCGUCUGGAGGCGAAAAUCGUUAGGGGCCUAUUCCACUGAGGAUUGUGCUUCAUAAAUACGAGAGUUCAUCCCAAGUACGAAGCAGUAGUUCUGGCACCGGCUACAAACAUUUCGAACAACGUCAGAAAGUUCGGAUUGAAGCAGAAUAUUAAAAGAAAACGACGCGGAAAAAAA